AUUGAACGCUGGCGGCAGGCCUAACACAUGCAAGUCGAGCGGAUGAGAGGAGCUUGCUCCUCGAUUCAGCGGCGGACGGGUGAGUAAUGCCUAGGAAUCUGCCCAGUAGUGGGGGACAACGUUUCGAAAGGAACGCUAAUACCGCAUACGUCCUACGGGAGAAAGUGGGGGAUCUUCGGACCUCACGCUAUCGGAUGAGCCUAGGUCGGAUUAGCUAGUUGGUAGGGUAAAGGCCUACCAAGGCGACGAUCCGUAACUGGUCUGAGAGGAUGAUCAGUCACACUGGAACUGAGACACGGUCCAGACUCCUACGGGAGGCAGCAGUGGGGAGUAUUGGACAAUGGGCGCAAGCCUGAUCCAGCCAUGCCGCGUGUGUGAAGAAGGCCCUCGGGUUGUAAAGCACUUUAAGGGGGGAGGAAGGUUCGUUGGCUAAUAUCCAACGGAAUUGACGCUACCCCCAGAAUAAGCACCGGCUAACUCCGUGCCAGCAGCCGCAGUAA
rnacentral:rRNA from 1 species